rnacentral:rRNA from 1 species
GUAAUCUGCCCCUGGCUUUGGGGUAGCCACCGGAAACGGUGAUUAAUACCGGAUAUGACCACUUCUCGCAUGGGUUGUGGUGGAAAGUUUUUCGGCCAGGGAUGUGCUCGCGGCCUAUCAGCUUGAUGGUGAGGUAAUGGCUCACCAUGGCUUCGACGGGUAGCCGGCCUGAGAGGGUGACCGGUCACACUGGGACUGAGACACGGCCCAGACUCCUACGGGAGGCAGCAGUGGGGAAUAUUGGACAAUGGGCGGAAGCCUGAUCCAGCAACGCCGCGUGAGGGAUGACGGCCUUCGGGUUGUAAACCUCUUUCAGCAGGGACGAAGCGCAAGUGACGGUACCUGCAGAAGAAGCACCGGCCAACUACGUGCCAGCAGCCGCGGUAAUACGUAGGGUGCGAGCGUUGUCCGGAAUUAUUGGCCGUAAAGGGCUCGUAGGCGGUUUGUCGCGUCGGGAGUGAAAACCAGGUGCUUAACACCUGGCUUGCUUUCGAUACGGGCAGACUAGAGGUAU